UACGAAGGGGGCAAGCGUUGUUCGGAAUUACUGGGCGUAAAGGGCGCGUAGGCGGCUUACCAAGUCAGGCGUGAAAUUCCCGGGCUCAACCUGGGGGCUGCGCUUGAUACUGGUGAGCUUGAAUACGGGAGAGGAUAGUGGAAUUCCCAGUGUAGAGGUGAAAUUCGUAGAUAUUGGGAAGAACACCAGUGGCGAAGGCGGCUCACUGGCCCGGUACUGACGCUGAGGUGCGAAAGCGUGGGGAGCAAACAGG
rnacentral:rRNA from 1 species